ensembl:snoRNA U3 Small nucleolar RNA U3
AAGAUCAUACUUUCAGGGAUCAUUUCUAUAGUCUUUGACUUGAGAAAUAUCUAAAUGCGAAUGUGAUCGGUUACUCUAACCACGAUGAAGAGAACUGGUGUUCCUUCUGAGCGCGAAGCGGGCAGUGAGUGAUGAUGCAUUUCAUCCGCUCCUUGCCGUUGAUAACCGUUCCAUGCUCUCUAGUGGAGCCUGGAGGUAGGGAUCAUGAUCAGAGUGGU